GAUUUGCUCCCAACAGUGUACAUGUGUAGAUGUGCUCCCCAGGAAGGCUUACUGUGCCGUAUUUUAAUGCACAUUAAUCCUAAAAUGCAUU